rfam:Prunus persica cultivar Lovell chromosome G1, whole genome shotgun sequence.
AGGGGCACAAUGAGGAUACAAUUUUGUAGUGGUAUUUAUGAGAUUCAAAUAUCAAUGAUCUUAUAACUUUAGUCCUUUUCAUUCUGAGUGCCUC